CUGUCUGUUAUCAGGAGAUAUUCGGAUUUUGUGCUUCUUUGGAGAAUUAAUUUAUCUUGUGAGACCGCCCACACAGGACGAUCAAUUAUUGGCGAAUUUAGUUAGAGAAGUAUUUAUGAUUUUUGUGGUGUAGGAUCUUGGAUUCUACGAGGGCGUCACGAAUCAUAUAUUUUUUUUUGUUUUUUGGAUCAUUGCAGGCUUUAUUAUACUAGCAGAAAUUGUUUGCGUAUGCACACAAUUCAUUAACUUUAUACUCUCU
rnacentral:lncRNA from 1 species